GGCGAACGCUGGCGGCGUGCUUAACACAUGCAAGUCGAACGGAAAGGCCCUGCUUUUGUGGGGUGCUCGAGUGGCGAACGGGUGAGUAACACGUGAGUAACCUGCCCUUGACUUUUGGAUAACUUCAGGAAACUGUGGCUAAUACCGGAUAUGAGCUCCUGCUGCAUGGUGGGGGUUGGAAAGUUUCGGCGGUUGGGGAUGGACUCGCGGCUUAUCUGCUUGUUGGUGGGGUAGUGGCUUACCAAGGCUUUGACGGGUAGCCGGCCUGGGAGGGUGACCGGCAACAUUGGGACUGAGAUACGGCCCGGACUCCUAGGGGGGGAAGAAGUGGGGAAUAUUGCACAAUGGGCGGAGGCCUGAGGCAGCAAGGCGGCGUGCGGGAUGAGGGCCUUCGGGUUGUAAACCGCUUUCGCCUGUGACGAAGCGGGAGUGACGGUAAUGGGUAAAGAAGCACCGGCUAACUACGUG
rnacentral:rRNA from 1 species